rnacentral:rRNA from 1 species
UACGAAGGGGGCUAGCGUUGCUCGGAAUUAUUGGGCGUAAAGGGCGCGUAGGCGGUCGGAUAAGUCUUGUGUGAAAUCUUCGGGCUCAACUCGAAGUCUGCACAGGAAACUAUCUGGCUUGAGUGUGGGAGAGGUGAGUGGAAUUCCUGGUGUAGCGGUGAAAUGCGUAGAUAUGCGGAGGAACACCGAUGGCGAAGGCAAUCCCCUGGGCCUGUACUGACGCUCAUGCACGAAAGCGUGGGGAGCAAACAGG